rnacentral:rRNA from 1 species
CUUACCUGGGCUUGACAUGCGCGAAGUAGGACCCGGAAACGGGAACGACUCGUCAAGGCGAGAGCGCGCACAGAUGCUGCAUGGCUGUCGUCAGCUCGUGCCGUGAGGUGUUGGGUUAAGUCCCGCAACGAGCGCAACCCUCGUCGCCAGUUACCUGUCUGGCGAGACCGCCGGGUACAACCCGGAGGAAGGUGGGGAUGACGUCAAGUCAGCACGGCUCUUACGUCCAGGGCUACACACACGCUACAAUGGUCGGGACAACGGGCAGCSAAGGGGCGACCCGGAGCGAAUCCCAGCAAACCCGGCCUCAGUGAGGAUCGGAGGCUGCAACUCGCCUCCGUGAAUGCGGAGUUGCUANNAACCGCGA